rnacentral:rRNA from 1 species
UACGAAGGGGGCUAGCGUUGCUCGGAAUCACUGGGCGUAAAGGGUGCGUAGGCGGGUUUUUAAGUCAGGGGUGAAAUCCCGAGGCUCAACCUCGGAACUGCCUUUGAUACUGGCGAGCUUGAGUCCGGGAGAGGUGAGUGGAACUGCGAGUGUAGAGGUGAAAUUCGUAGAUAUUCGCAAGAACACCAGUGGCGAAGGCGGCUCACUGGCCCGGUACUGACGCUGAGGUGCGAAAGCGUGGGGAGCAAACAGG